UCCUCUCAUCGCUCGAUUCCUCCUCUCCUCCAUGCCGCCGCCGCCUCCACUUCUUCCCUAGACCAUGCCUCGUCUCAGCUCCUCGUUCCGCCGCGCACGGCAGCCGUCUUCCAUCCGGCGUAUCGCCUAGCGGAGCAAAUGGCGGAUCUGCCACCUCUCUCCUCGCCGGUAAGUAGCAGCCAGACCGGUGCUGGGGAGAGCCGGAGACAGGGACAAGAAGCAGCAGGGGACGGCUCCCGCUGCGGUGGAGUGGAGCUGCAGGGAGAGGAAGGAGGCCGACGACAGGGGAAAAGAACAUGCCGGCUCUGGUUCGUCAUGGAGAACACAAAAUGCUGGCCCUCCUCUGCCUCUUCUUCUCUGGACCAUGGAUUCGUUGUGGGUUCUCUAUUGGUGGUGUUGGGGAUUGCAAGGCUUAUUCCAUCUGGUUUUAGGAGUGUGUGUUGCUCCUAUAAAUUUUUCUCAGGUUGUCUCUCUUCUUCUUGUUGCUAUCUUAGUUCAUUCUUUUGUUCAUACAAGGAAUUUCGAGAUUUGCUUUUCAGCUCCUAGAGCUGUUGGAGUUAGUGUACAAUCCUAUAUCUAAUUAGAAGUCACAUACUUGUCUCCUGGUUGGGGAAAUUACAAAUUGGUUUGCAGUCCUUCCAUGCCUUCUAAUUAGAUGGUUGAAAUUCGUCAACUCCGCUGACUCUCGACUAUGGCAUGCUACAAGCCUACAACCCCGACCCAGCCCACUUAUGCAGUAAUAUGCUCGUGUGACCGCUCCUUUUUAGGAUUUUGUUUACUCAAUAUUACCUGCUUUGUAUUACUUACUAAACUUGAUGGUUUGACUUAUAUAUAAGUUCCUUGAGGGAAAAUCACAAGACCUGUAGCCAUUCUUACGCACGGGAUAUUGUUCUGAAACAAGUUAUCUUCCCCUCAUGUUCUGCUCUUCCAUCGUGUCUGAUUCUAAAAUUUGUUUCUUGCAAUGUGUGAUAUGUUUGUUUACUUUCAUUUCUAAGGAAAAGUAAGCUCCUAUGCAUCAUAGGACUAUUUGGUUAGCUAAUAUUUUUAACAAUGAUCUGUUGGCGAAUCUGUUUCUUUAGUUUUAAAAUCUAAAUUGUUCGUACAGAUUAACAGGUCUGCUUGUACUGUUUACAUCACUAGGCUGAGUCCAUCAUUGGUGGUGGUUAGUGUCCAGGUUUGGCAGCAAAUCAACUACUCUGAAUGAGGCCAUUCACAGCUUCUCAUGAGUAACAUGCAUAUGUGAACACGCUGAUCCAAGGGUUAUGUUUUGUGUAUUCUAUUUUCGUUGGCUAUGCUAUGUGUUUCAGUGCCAAUGACUCAACAGUCAUUUAUCAAUCAGUGUGUAUUUUGUUCUCAUCGGCAAUGAUGCAUAUACAUUUAAUAUAGAUCACAAACCUGACACUUUACGUGGAACUUUGGGGUGUAAUAUUUAUUGCACUGCUUCAUGGUUCAUUGUAGCAAUGCUGGCCGUCAGGGAAGAUGCUGUUAAGCACAAAAAUUCAGUGCUCGGAGAAGUCUGCUAUGCAAACUUGUGGCUUUAGAUCCUUAUUAUCAGAUCGUGUCACUCUUUCCACUCCAAAACCGAUGAGCUCUGGAAAACGGGUAUAUCUCUGCCUCCUGUUCCUAGCACUACUCAUUUAUGAAACAAUUCAUUCCCUAUACUGCAUUUAAAUAUCUUGCAUUUGCACACAAUUUGUAAUAGCAAUCCGUGGCUUUCAUGUAAUAAGGUGAAACCUACUCUUGCAGGCUCCUGAUUGUGUGUGUGUAUUUUGUAGCUUCAUCGCCUUAUGGCAUCAAGAUGCAAUUGCUCAUAUGAUUUCAUAGUUUGGCAAGUACCACAGAAUUUGUGGUUGACUAUUUACAUCCAAAAUUAUCGUGUUAGUACUUAGUACUGAAGCUAAUUUCUACAUCGUUAAUAGAGUUGCCUUGAUGUUUCCCGUACUAGAAAGAUCUAUCUAUGAUCUAUUUUUUAACCAUCUAAGACUGUAGUCAUAUAUACUCCAUACAGUAACAAUAUAUCUUGGUGUCGGUUUGCUGAUUAUUUAUCUCUCCCAGCUUGUUUUUAUGUCUGGUCAAAUUGCAUAAGAAGCUGACAUGUAAAUGUAGAUCAUGCAGCUUUAUGGGCAUGCAUCAGAUUCAUAUUAUAAUAAAGUUUUGACUUCAUACUAUAAAUCCAUUCAUUAGAGCUAUAUAUAUCAUAUACAAUACCAUUUAGUCUGGUUCAUGAGUAAAAUGUUGUUUUUAAUAAAUUGAAGGUUGUUCCUUGUUCGCUUGUUGUUUGCUAGCACUGAUGUUGAUGUAAGAAAACAAAGUGUAGUUCAUAUUUUAAUCAUUUAUGUCCAUAUCAUAUGAUGCUAAUGUAUGAACUAUAUAUGGUUUGGUUUAAACGAUAUCAAUAAAAGAAUAUACAUUGUGGAAAUUAAAUAAAUCCUACAAAUCGAAUUAGGAAACUAUUGUUACUGGCAUUCGACGAGGAAAAGGAGACCCCGGAGGAAGUUACAACGUCGUUGUGGUGGCUCGAUCGAUGCGGAUUUUGAUGUUGAUUGUUUUGAUCUGGACAUGGAUUGGAUAUUGGAGAAUUGAUACUGGGGAUCGAGAAAUUGUUAUUUGUGUUGCUGAUUUUUUUAUUUGGACAUGGAUUUGAGAGUGGACAAGGCCUGAUCAAGUCUCCAGCCUCAUGAUUCUUUUUUAGUGUCAAUCAACGGUUUCCUUAAUUGCAAGACAACGACCCUCCAUGUUAUCAAUCUGGUACAGUGUUGUUGUGAGUGAGGACGACACAGGGAAAGGUGCAACAAGAUAGCGUUCGCGUUGCAGUGGACUGGAGUCGGCCAUCACCACCAACCGCUGCUCGCCGAUCGUCGUCCCUCAUCCCCCGUCUAGAUGUUUGCUGAUCAGGCGAAGAAGAGAGGAAUGACCUUGAGGAAGAGUCAAGAACAUGGUGAACCUCUUGGCCAUCGCAACCCGACGGCUCAGGCGACAAUGAACAUGGGUAUUUCUAGCCCAUCAAUCUACAGGGCUCAGGUCCUGCACAUGGCUAUCGACUUGCUUGCUGUCGGGCGAGAUUGGUUGCAACUUGUCUGCCUCGAUUCUAAUUCUCUGUGUUAUCCAUCUACAUAUGCCUACCAUUGUCAGCUAUGUUUCUAGCCCAAACAGCUGUAGUCAGAUUUCCUUGCCUUUGGCUGGCCAUCCCUUUCUUUUGCCACGCCAUCGACUUGCUUGAUGUCGGGUGUUUGCUAUAGAAAAUCAAAAGAAGCAACCUAAAUGUCAAUGGGGUGAUGACAGUGACAUGUUUAACACGAGGUGUUGCAUCUAGGCUCUACAAGAUUCGCUGAUGGAUGUGUGAAUGUGAGCAAUCAGGAUAUAAAUUUCUUCCAACAACAAGAGAUGCUGAUUAGAUUCAGGAAUAUGUUGUUACGUCUCAGCAUUGCAGCUUAAUGUUGUAGGAUUAAUAUUUGGCACCUGACAUGAGGUUGAGAAAUACCAUGCUUUAAUUACAUAUGAC